GUGGGGAAUCUUGCGCAAUGGGCGAAAGCCUGACGCAGCCAUGCCGCGUGAAUGAUGAAGGUCUUAGGAUUGUAAAAUUCUUUCACCGGGGACGAUAAUGACGGUACCCGGAGAAGAAGCUCCGGCUAACUUCGUGCCAGCAGCCGCGGUAAUACGAAGGGGGCUAGCGUUGCUCGGAAUUACUGGGCGUAAAGGGCGCGUAGGCGGACAGCUUAGUCAGAGGUGAAAGCCCAGGGCUCAACCUUGGAAUUGCCUUUGAUACUGGCUGUCUUGAGUACGGGAGAGGUGAGUGGAACUCCGAGUGUAGAGGUGAAAUUCGUAGAUAUUCGGAAGAACACCAGUGGCGAAGGCGACAUACUGGCUCAUUACUGACGCUGAGGCGCGAAAGCGUGGGGAGCAAACAGGAUUAGAAACCCUGGUAGUCC
rnacentral:rRNA from 1 species